rnacentral:rRNA from 1 species
UACGUAGGGGGCAAGCGUUGUCCGGAAUUAUUGGGCGUAAAGAGCGCGUAGGCGGUCCGAUAAGUCGGCUGUGAAAGUCAGGGGCUCAACCCUUGGAAGCCGGCCGAUACUGUCGGACUAGAGUCCGGAAGAGGCGAGUGGAAUUCCCGGUGUAGCGGUGAAAUGCGCAGAUAUCGGGAGGAACACCAAUGGCGAAGGCAGCUCGCUGGGACGUGACUGACGCUGAGACGCGAAAGCGUGGGGAGCAAACAGG